UUGUUUGAGCUUUGAAUAUAGGUUAAGCGAGGUUACAUUUGAAUGGAAUUUUUAAUUUGUGGAUUAUAUGUCCAUCAAUUGAAUUUUUUAAACAACUAAUUUGAAAACGUGCUUAAAUUGCCAAUAAUUAAUGAUCCAUAAGUGGUGUUUAUCUAUACAUAACAAUAGGGAACGUAAUGAGUCUCCUAUAUAAGGGGGUCGGGGUGUGUUUCUUUACAUAUAUAUAAAUUGUUUCUUGUGAUGAGAUAUCAAAAUGAGAAAAAGUUUAUUUGUGUUCAUGUUGCUCCUUGUCCUUUUUGUUACAGACAUUUUACUUUAUUCCUAAUUCCUAUUUUAUGCUUUUUGCUCGUAUGAGACUUUGAUGACUUGGACAGAAGCAGGGAGAGAACCAAGGAAAUGUCAAGAAGUAGACACGAAAUAUCCUUGUCAGGAUGAUUUUACAUGUAAUCAGGACUGCAUAGAUUUACCUGGUGAUAGGAAUGUAACCGGAAAAUGUGAGAUAAGGGAUAAGGUUAAGCGAUGUGUCUGUAACUAUAUUUGUUAAUCUUGAGCAUAUGCUCAGUGAAGUUACUUAUAAUACUAUUCUAUGUACAUGUACACCGGUCACAUGACUUAAUUUCGUGUAUGCCAGCUGUCAUUUCUGAUGGUUUAUUACUUAUUUAAUAUCAAUAAAAUUGUUUGUGGGUUUUA